GGUGCAUGGCUGAUUCACCAUUCAAUACCCAGCGAGUGCACCAAGCAGAAGCCCUGGGGGAGCAACAUGGGGGAAUAGGGACAGAAGGAAGACUCUGAAGGAGAUGAGGUGUAGGAGCCCAGAUCUCAUAACAACCUAACAGCAACUAUAAUUUCAGAGCCUGGGAAUUUUAGAUCUACAUAUGCUCCAAUUCUCUUAAAGAUGUCCAGAAAUGGGAGGUUGUGUGGCUUCCUGAGAGAGGACCGGGAGUUAGUCAAUCUGGAAUGAAUAGUCUGGUCUGAGAAAGUUCUUUCAUUUCUCUGGAUUUUGGAUUCCUCAUGCAAGAAAUGAGAGAGCUUAACAUGAGGCCAGGCCUUGGAGAAAAAGCAGUGAAGGAACCACUCUGGGGCAUGGGGACCACACUGAAUUGCUCUUCAGGGCAAGGAGACCAGCAGUGAGAAAUUGGAACAGAAAAGCUAUCUGCCACAGGUGCCUUCAGAAGAGCCCAACUCUCAUUACUUCCACCUGCUGCUCAGCAGUUAGAAUUAUUCUCCUUGGGAUUCCAUGGCUUCUCCAACUAUUUCCAGUUUCUUCCAUUGGAUACUUA